rnacentral:rRNA from 1 species
GACGAACGCUGGCGGCGUGCUUAACACAUGCAAGUCGAACGAAGUGGCGAACGGGUGAGUAACGCGUAAUCAACCUGCUCUUCAGGGGGGGCCAACAGUAGGAAAGGACUGCUAAUACCGCCUACUGAUGGAUGGGAAUGCGGCGGAUUAGCUAGUUGGAUGGGUAACGGCCAACCAGGGCGAUGAGCAGUAGCCGGUCUGAGAGUAUGCACGGCCACAUUGUGACUGAUACACGGCCCAGACUCCGACGGGAGGCAGCAGUGGGGAAUCUUCCGCAAUGGACGAAAGUCUGACGGAGCAACGCCGAGUGAGUGAUGACGGCCUUCGGGUUGUAAAGCUCUGUUAAUCGGGACGCGGUACCGGAAUAGAAAGCCACGGCUAACUACGUGCCAGCAGCCGCGGUAAUA